AGAGUUUGAUCAUGGCUCAGAUUGAACGCUGGCGGCAGGCCUAACACAUGCAAGUCGAACGGUAACAGGAAGUGCUUGCACUUCGCUGACGAGUGGCGGACGGGUGAGUAAUGCUUGGGAACUUGCCUUUGCGAGGGGGAUAACAGUUGGAAACGACUGCUAAUACCGCAUAAUGUCUACGGACCAAACGGGGCUUAGGCUCCGGCGCAAAGAGAGGCCCAAGUGAGAUUAGCUAGUUGGUAAGGUAAAGGCUUACCAAGGCAACAAUCUCUAGCUGUUCUGAGAAGAAGAUCAGCCACACUGGAACUGAGACACGGUCCAGACUCCUACGGGAGGCAGCAGUGGGG
rnacentral:rRNA from 1 species